GAAUAACACGAGGAAACUUGUGCUAAUACCUCAUAAGUCUUUACGGAGAAAGCUUUAUGCGCCAAUGGAUGAGCCUGCACUUGAUUAGUUUGUUGGUGGGGUAAUGGCCUACCAAGACUUUGAUCAAUAGCUGAUCUGAGAGGAUGAUCAGCCACAUUGGGACUGAGACACGGCCCAAACUCCUACGGGAGGCAGCAGUAGGGAAUAUUGCACAAUGGAGGAAACUCUGAUGCAGCGAUGCCGCGUGAGUGAAGAAGGCCUUUGGGUUGUAAAGCUCUUUCGUCGGGGAAGAAAAUGACGGUACCCGAAUAAGAAGGUCCGGCUAACUUCGUGCCAGCAGCCGCGGUAAUACGAAGGGACCUAGCGUAGUUCGGAAUUACUGGGCUUAAAGAGUUCGUAGGUGGUUAAAAAAGUUGGUUGUGAAAUCCCGAAGCUUAACUUCGGAACUGCAAUCAAAACUUUUUAGCUAGAGUAUGAUAGAGGAAAGCAGAAUUUCUAGUGUAGAGGUGAAAUUCGUAGAUAUUAGAAAGAAUACCAAUUGCGAAGGCAGCUUUCUGGAUCAUUACUGACGCUGAGGAACGAAAGCAUGGGUAGCGAAGAGGAUUAGAUACCCUCGUAGUCCAUGCCGUAAACGAUGUGUGUUAGACGUUGGAAAUUUAUUUUCAGUGUCGCAGCGAAAGCAGUAAACACACCGCCUGGGGAGUACGACCGCAAGGUUAAAACUCAAAUGAAUUGACGGGGACCCGCACAAGUAGUGGAGCAUGUGGUUUAAUUCGAAGAUACGCGCAGAACCUUACCAACACUUGACAUGUUCGUCGCGGCUCUAAGAGAUUAGAGCUUUCGGUUCGGCCGGACGAAACACAGGUGCUGCAUGGCUGUCGUCAGCUCGUGUCGUGAGAUGUUGGGUUAAGUCCCGCAACGAGCGCAACCCUCACUUUUAGUUGCCAUCAUUUAGUUGGGCACUCUGAAAGAACUGCCAGUGAUAAGCUGGAGGAAGGUGGGGAUGACGUCAAGUCCUCAUGGCCCUUACGUGUUGGGCUACACACGUGCUACAAUGGCAUUUACAAUAGGAAGCAAGAUGGCGACGUCAAGCAA
rnacentral:rRNA from 1 species